GACGUUAGCGGCGGACGGGUGAGUAACACGUGGAUAACCUACCUAUAAGACUGGGAUAACUUCGGGAAACCGGAGCUAAUACCGGAUAAUAUAUUGAACCGCAUGGUUCAAUAGUGAAAGACGGUUUUGCUGUCACUUAUAGAUGGAUCCGCGCCGCAUUAGCUAGUUGGUAAGGUAACGGCUUACCAAGGCAACGAUGCGUAGCCGACCUGAGAGGGUGAUCGGCCACACUGGAACUGAGACACGGUCCAGACUCCUACGGGAGGCAGCAGUAGGGAAUCUUCCGCAAUGGGCGAAAGCUUGACGGAGCAACGCCGCGUGAGUGAUGAAGGUCUUCGGAUCGUAAAACUCUGUUAUUAGGGAAGAACAAAUGUGUAAGUAACUAUGCACGUCUUGACGGUACCUAAUCAGAAAGCCACGGCUAACUACGUGCCAGCAGUCGCGGUAAUACGUAGGUGGCAAGCGUUAUCCGGAAUUAUUGGGCGUAAAGCGCGCGUAGGCGGUUCAGCAAGUUGGAUGUGAAAUCCCCGGGCUCAACCUGGGAACUGCAUCCAAAACUACUGAGCUAGAGUACGGUAGAGGGUGGUGGAAUUUCCUGUGUAGCGGUGAAGUGCGUAGAUAUAGGAAGGAACACCAGUGGCGAAGGCGACCGCCUGGACUGAUACUGACACUGAGGUGCGA
rnacentral:rRNA from 1 species